GCUGACAUGUACCCCGCCAUGAUCCAUGGAGGGUUAGGGUUCCCCGCCCCCAUCAUGGCGGGUUUCUCUUUGCUUCGCCUCCCUGAGCGCCGCCGUCUCCUAUACUCCAAGUGGUAGCUGAGGCCUUGUUUAGUUUGCAAAAAAAAUUUAAGAUUCUCCAUCAUAUCGAAAUUUGCGGCACAUGUAUAAAGUAUUAAAUAUAAACGAAAAUACAAACUAAUUACACAGUUUGACUGUAAAUCGCGAGACGAAUCUUUUGACUCUAGUUAGUCUAUGAUUUGACAAUAUUUACCAUAAAUAAACAAAAAUACUACGGUAACGAAAUAAAAAAAAAUCCACGAACUGAAUCGGCCUGAAUGGACGUCGUACUGCCAGUGUGAACCGGGCCUGUGCUGAUGUGAUUGGUGUUGCCUGACAGAGCUGCUCCCAUCUCCUACGCGGCCUUGUCCUUGUGUAGUUCGUAAAAAAAAUUUACAAAAUUUUUCAGAUUAGAGUAUUAAAUAUAGACGAAAAUAAAAAUUAAUUGCACAGUUUGAUCCGAAUUGACGAGACAAAUCUUUUGAGCCUAAUUAGUUCAUAGUUAGACAAUAAUUAUCACAAACAAACAAAAGUGUUACAGUAUCACGAAAUUAUUUACUUGAGGAACUCGGGCGAUACAGUCAGGCCCGCUACACGCUGGUCACAAGAUUGAUUUCCAUCGGCGG
rnacentral:lncRNA from 1 species